AGUCAAUCUCUCAUUGAUUCCUACCUCCGAUGAAUAUCUGAGCCCAGCUAACAAUUUCACUUCUCCUCUCCCUUUCGGUGUUUCGCCCUUUUCUCCUUUUGGUGCUUGAUUGUUUUCUCCAUGGAUGAAACCUACACAAAUCUUCCUACUAGCCAUUUGCUUGGCUCAGUCCCUGCGGUAAUCAAUGAAGAGACUGAGAAAAGAGGCACAGACAAUGAAACACCAGAAGCAAGUAU
rnacentral:misc_RNA from 1 species